ensembl:lncRNA
UGUGAACAUGCUGUGGGCUGGGAGCUGGACUUCCUGCAGUAUAUUCCUUCCUGAAAGGGCUGAAGUCUUUCUGUUCUGCAAGCAGAAGGUGGAGCCUUUCAGCAAACAGAAGAAAAUAGUUGUCUGCCUCCUUCAAACAAGCCAGUUUUGCUCUUUCUGCUCUGUCCAUAGAUAUAAAACAGCUGUUGAUGUCAGUAAUUCAGAGUGGAGUUGGCAUGCUGCGUUUCUCUUGUCAGCUGGAAUGAUGAUUGAACAUAACUGGCCACUUCAAAUUAAGGUCAGAUCUCUGGAUGCUCAGUGCAGCAGCGUGAUCUUCAGGACCAGCAGGAGGUCAGUGAGUGCCAUAGGUUUGCAGCAGGUCUUCUGUUCCCUCCUCUUGGCUCCAGCAGGAGCUUUCCAACUCAGUUCAGACUUGGAUCCACCUUUUCCAUAUCCUUCUGUAUCCACUUCAGUUGCUUUGUUUAAGGAGAAGAACAACAACAAACCUUUGCAGUAGAACCAGAUUAGGUUAACUGAAGGUUUUCUUCGUGUUGAGUAUCUUCUGUUUCUUAGCUUGCAUUAGUCUGCCUAAGCUCUGCCAAACUGUACCCCUUCAGCUUAAGCCUUGAUUUUUUACAAGCUUUCACUCCUUUUUACCCUGAGCAUCUUUCUGGUGACAACUUGUGUGUGUGCUCUGCACGAAGCAGUUGUGGCUCCUCACUCACAGCAUGGCUCUUCUGGCAGUGCAGCGUGGUGCAGAGCCCCUCUGCCUGGUUACACGGAGGUGGCCUCCAGAUUAUAAUCACUUCCAUAAUGCUGUAGCUAAAUUUUUUGGCAAGUUGGGUCUGUCAGAGGAGGGUCAGGUUGGAUAUUAGGAAAAAAUUCUUCUCCUGAAGAGCAGUGAUGCACUGGCACGGGCUGCCCAGGGAGUGAUGGGAUCACUGUCCCUGGAGGUGCUCCAGAACCAUG